UUGUGCUAUUUAGUGUGGACUCAGACGUCACGGUUCACGGAGUUUGGGGGGACUCUGACGGGCGCUCGACAGCCGGGGCCGGCGGCGGGAGGCCCCGCGGGCCCGCCAAAGCAACAGAGGUAUGGUUCGCAAAGGGUGGGAGGUUCGGGCCCCGGGGGACCCUCGCUCGGUAAUGAUCCUUCCGCAGGUUCACCUACGGAAA
rnacentral:misc_RNA from 1 species